rnacentral:ncRNA from 1 species
CUUUUCAUUUCUGAAGCCCUGAAUGAUGAUUUGGGAAAUCGUCAAUAUCACUGUCAUCGUGAUUACGGGGAAAACUACCAAAUUCCGGGGACGCCCUAGAACUUAAGGUACCAAGCCGUGGCCCAAAAUCCAUGUGUGGAUGAGCUAAUCACUCAUGUAAGGUAAUAAGUCUUAAGACUUCUGAAAAGAGAGUGGGUAAUCGCGGAUCUAAAUCAGUCAUUGGUUUAUCAUUAAAUAAGCUACAAACUGUAAAAGAGCAACGAGUAUACGGUAGUUGAUACGAUUUAUCGUAUUUAAGAUGUACUCUAUUAGGUUUCGAGAGAAACCG